UCCCUAGUAGCUCAGAUGGUAAAGCAUCCGCCUGCAAUGCAGGAGACCCAGGUUUGAUCCCUGGGUUAGGAA
rnacentral:tRNA from 1 species